AAACUCAACCAAAACGUAUAAGGUAACUCAGUCACAACUUUAAGAUAACUCAGCCAAAACGUAUAAGGUAACUCAGUCACAACUUUAAGCUAACUCAACCAAAACGUAUAAGGUAACUCAGUCACAAUUUUAAGCUAACUCAGCCAAAACGUAUAAGGUAACUCAGUCACAACUUUAAGCUAACUCAGCCAAAACGUAUAAGGUAACUCACUCACAACUUUAAGCUAACUCAGCCAAAACGUAUAAGGUAACUCACUCACAACUUUA
rnacentral:lncRNA from 1 species